GACGAACGCUGGCGGCGUGCCUAAUACAUGCAAGUUGAGCGCUGAAGGUUGGUACUUGUACCAACUGGAUGAGCAGCGAACGGGUGAGUAACGCGUGGGGAAUCUGCCUUUGAGCGGGGGACAACAUUUGGAAACGAAUGCUAAUACCGCAUAAAAACUUUAAACACAAGUUUUAAGUUUGAAAGAUGCAAUUGCAUCACUCAAAGAUGAUCCCGCGUUGUAUUAGCUAGUUGGUGAGGUAAAGGCUCACCAAGGCGAUGAUACAUAGCCGACCUGAGAGGGUGAUCGGCCAUAUUGGGACUGAGACACGGCCCAAACUCCUACGGGAGGCAGCAGUAGGGAAUCUUCGGCAAUGGACGAAAGUCUGACCGAGCAACGCCGCGUGAGUGAAGAAGGCUUUCGGAUCGUAAAACUCUGUUGGUAGAGAAGAACGUUGGUGAGAGUGGAAAGCUCAUCAAGUGACGGUAACUACCCAGAAAGGGACGGCUAACUACGUG
rnacentral:rRNA from 1 species